rnacentral:rRNA from 1 species
UACGUAGGGUGCGAGCGUUAAUCGGAAUUACUGGGCGUAAAGCGUGCGCAGGCGGUUCGUUGUGUCCGUCGUGAAAGCUCCGGGCUUAACCUGGGAACUGCGAUGGAAACUAGCGAGCUGGAGUGUGGCAGAGGGGGGUGGAAUUCCGCGUGUAGCAGUGAAAUGCGUAGAGAUGCGGAGGAACACCGAUGGCGAAGGCAGCCCCCUGGGCUAACACUGACGCUCAGGCACGAAAGCGUGGGGAGCAAACAGG